rnacentral:rRNA from 1 species
AUACGGAGGGGACAAGCGUUAUUCGGAAUCACUGCGCGUAAAGGACGCGUAGGCGGGUUAUUAAGUCGGGUGUGAAAUCCAAUGGCUCAACCAUUGAACUGCAUUCGAAACUGAUAACCUAGAGUAUGGAAGGGGCAGGUGGAAUUAGUGGUGUAGGGGUAAAAUCCGUAGAUAUCACUAGGAAUACCGAAAGCGAAGGCGACCUGCUGGGACAUUACUGACGCUGAGGCGUGAAAGCGUGGGGAGCAAACAGGAUUAGAAACCCCAGUAGUCC